rnacentral:lncRNA from 1 species
GCUCUCAUCACCUAUAUACUCUUCUCUCUGCCCGUCUCUGCUUCCCCCCCCUUCCCCCCCCCCUUUUCUCCCGGCCGACGGAGCUGAAGGGGCGGGGGUUCCUUCCUUGGAGUGUUUCUAGAGCUCGGAGGCUGCUGGUAGGGGGGCACCACUUUCAGAUAAAAACAUAGACCUGAAUGGCAUCAUCCAGUAUCCAAGGAAACCAUUGUGUCUGUAACCAGCUAAUGAGCUGCAACAGAGCCUGGCCUUCAUUUUCAGCAAAUUAAGUUCAUCCCUCAUAGGAAUUGUGGUCUGGCUGUGGCACCGCUCCUAGACAUGACAAACUCCAAAAGGAAACCCAAGCAGCUAUUUGGCUCCCUUAAUUAAUGAAGUCGCCCAGUAUGGAUAAUUCAGGUUCUCUAAACAUGAAUAUGCCUUUGGGGGAA